rnacentral:tRNA from 1 species
CCUGGUGGCUUAGAUGGUAAAGAAUCUGCCUGCAAUGCAGAAGACCAAGGUUUGAUUCUUGGGCCAGGA